AGGCAGGGAGGAACGCCAGACUUAAAUCCAGGGUCUGACAUCCAUGGAAAGAAAAAGGAUCGGGUGAGAAGAGUCUCAGACUGUGGCAGUGUUUUAAGGAGGUUUUAUCCAAGCUGAAAGGGAGAUCUGGAGCCAAAGCUGACCAUCAGAGAAGUCCCUGUCUCUGCAGCCUGCACCUCUGCUAGUACCCCACCAUGCAACCUGAGGAAGGUGUGGGCUGAGCAGGAAUGGGUGGUGGAUCAGAAGAGUGGCAGAUGUGCUUCAGUGCAGGUUUCCAAGGCUCCCAGAGGUGGUAAGGUCUGGCUUAUGGGGUACGCCACUGCUGGUCUGAAGUCUUCUCUCUAUUGGACUGUUUGAUAACAACUGAAUCAGUUAUAUAUAUGUAUAAUCUUUCCAGAUUCUUUUUCAUUAUAGGCUAUUACAGGAUUUUGAAUAUAGUUCCCUGCUGUAUAUAGUAGGAACUUGUUGUUUAUUUAUUUUAUAUAUAGUAGUGUUCAUCAUUAAUCCCAUGCUCCUAAUUUAUUCCUCCCUCACUUUCCCCUUUGGUAACUGUAAGUUUGUUUUGUAUAAAAUGCAAGCCAUUUUAGAGCUCAACUUAUCUCCAAGAUCUUGGAUGGGUCACAUGGAGGCUUAGGCAUUGAUGAGGAAAAGCAAGCAGUGAAUGCCAAAAGAACAUAUAUAAAUUAAACAAAGGAAAUGAUACAAACAGCCUUUUUAAAAGAGGAAAUUAUAGAAAUGCAAUGAACAUAUGAGACAUCUUUAAAUUUGUAAAACAAUUUCUUUUUCUGUUCAGUUAUAUAAGGAGUUAGAAUCAGAUUUUAUGACAUUAAUAGAUAGCCAGACUUUUCUGCUUUUGAAGCUUCAUAUUUUUUUGUUAUAAUUGCGCUAAUUCUGAUUUUAAAUGAAUCAACUGGCAAGUUAAAAUAUAUUGGAGAAAUGUUCAUGAUAUAGCCUCCCCUCCCAAAUAUUUACGUGGUAUUUCUGUGUUAUGUUAUUAGAAUCAGCAUCCUCCCAGAAACAGAAAUUUACUAUGAGUUAGGGUUUUUAUGCCACCGAAUAGAAACUCCCUCUGGAUAUUCAAGAUCAGCAAAGAGGCCCAAAGGCAAUAGUUCGCAUCUAUUAACCCCAAAUUCCCAGUUCAUCCCACCCCCUCCCCCUUCCCCUUGGCAACCACAAGUCUAUUCUCCAUGUCCAUGGUUUUGUUUUCUGUGGAAAGGUUCAUUUGUGCCAUAUAUUAGAUUCCAGAUAUAAGUGAUAUCAUAUGGUAUUUGUCUUUCCCUUUCUGACUAACUUCACUUAUUAUGAGUCUCCAGUUCCAUCUAUGAUGCUGCAAAUGGCAUUAUUUUUUUUGUGGCUGAGUAGUAUUCCAUUGUGUAUAUACACCACAUCUUCUUAAUCCAUUCAUCCAUCGAUGGACAUUUAGGUUGUUAGAACUUAUUUUGAAGUAUGGCAUUUUCAGGUUUGCUUUAUUUUUUAAUGUCUUUAUUAAACAAGAAGUGAUCUCAUCCUUCAAAUUAUUCCUUUCUGUCUAUGGAUAUAUAAUCACUGCUAAUAAGUUAUUUUUCUGGAGACGACAUGUUCAAAUUUACAUAUGUGUUGUGAUAAUUGUAAAUCCAUGUUACAUAUUAGGUGAACAUGCAUGAACAUGGAAGAGCAGCUAUCAUAUGUCUACUAAGUAUUUAGAUAUUUGCAUUUAUGUACACUAUGUUCCAUUCUCUGCCCUAGAUUCUGUAUAUACCUAACUUAAUUUACUCUUUACAACAACAUUUUCUGUAUGUGUGAUUACUUCCAUUUAAUAGAUGAAAAAACUGGGGCUGAGGUAAGUUAAAUAACUUGCUGGGAAUACACGCCUAGAUUGUGACAGAGCCUCUCUUAAAAAAGUCUUUCUAACCAGGUUGUAUUCCUUUCACUAGGCCAAAAAAUGUAGAUAGUAUUCAAAAGAACCAUACAAGGAAAUAAAAUUAUGAGUAUUCUAAAAAGCGGUUCCGAUAACCAAAAAUAAAUUCCCUUAAAACAUCUGACUUUCAACUUCCUAUGUUUCAUAAAAGCUUUCUCUUUUCCUAUUUAUUUGCCCUUCUUUCUAGUGAUCUUAAAUAUCUUUUUCCUGUCACUGUGGGGAUAUUAGAGCAGCUGACAUAGACAACAGAAUAACAGGAUCUAAGGGUGAUUAGGUCCUCAUCCAUGAAAGACAAGUUCAGGGAGAAAAAGGCCUGAUAAAAAUGAAUUUCACACAUGAUGGGGAAAUCUUAACAGCUGUCAGAAUGGUAAAAGGGAUGGCUGGGGUGGAAAUGGGGAGUUGAAAAAAUUCUAUUUAUGUGUAUAUCCACACAUCAAAUUAUUUACAUUUUUGUCUUUAUUGGCUGGGCCACCGGGAAAAAAAUGAGACUGGUUGUGCUCUAUCAGUUUUGUUGCCAUUUCUGAGUAGGUGGACUCACAAACAGGAAGAUACAACCCCUUCAAGGUCUACAGUUUCUUGUCAGUAACAUGCUGGUUUUUAAUAUGUUCUCUUACGAGUGAAUUAUUAUGGUUCAAAAAAUGAAAUUGAAUGACAUCCUGUUAAGAGUUAAUGUGAAAGGACCCUAUCAGUGAGUCUGAAAGCUGAAGAAUAAAGUUGAACACGAGAGAUGAGACCAGAGAUGAUGGUGUGCUAGAGUUGGCAAGGAUUUUACUAAAUAAUUGUCUAGAUGUAGAUGGGGGGGGGGAGUGGUGGGAUGGGUCAGGGGUCUCUGUGGUCCUGCUGUCCCCUACAUUCUGCCCAUUGCAUUGGGAGACCCAGGGAAUGUUGCCUAGCCUUUUUGGUUGCAAUUUCUAAAUCUAACAUGGGGUGAAUCUUAGUUAUUGUGGUAAUCCAAUGAGCUACUUUAAUUCUUAAGACAAUGCCGGGAACAUAAUAACUGCUGAAUAAAUAUUAGCCUUUUUCACUAAGAUCAGGAGGAAGUAGUUCAGAACAAAAACAGGCCCUUGUCAUACCCUGAGAAAUUAAUAGGUGGGGAGAGCCUUUCUGUAGAGCUACUGAAUUUGCCCAGUCUUGUUUUAUUCUUCUCCCCUUCAGAGUCUUUACCUUGGUUGAAAAUAAAGGGAUCUAAACUG
ensembl:lncRNA